UCGUGGCUAUUCUAUACUCCAUAGUUAUUUAAAAAAAACUAAUCUUAGUGUUGCUGUGAAGGUAUUCUUUAAGUUGAUUGAUUGUAAAUUCAACAAUGUGUGUCUGAUUCCAUUUCCAUGAUACAUCCAGGAUGGACAAAUCCAUAGAGACGGAAAGUAGGUUAGCGGUUUCUAGGGAGUGGAGAGAAUGUGGACUGACUGCUAAUUGAUAGGGGAUUUCUCUUUAUAGGUUAUGGAAGUUUUAAAAAAUUAGCUCUUGUUUUGGUUGAGGGUGGCACAACUCUUUGACUCUGCUGAAAACCACUGGAUUGAACACCCUAAAAGGAUACAUUUCAUGUCAAAUGGAAAAUGACAUGAAUAUAAGGAGCAUCACUUUGUUUAUUGACCAACAGAUACUGUAUAUAAUUCUAUAUCUUCAUGCUGUUUUCCCUUGACUCCCAGACUUGAUAAAAAUCAACAUGCCACUGAAUUCUGCUGCUCUAAAAUCUGAGGUGUCUGAGUGCUAUAGGAGAAAUAUCCAGUUCUCAGACAUCCUGAAGUUGGAUUCAACCAUAAUUCAAAAUUCAUAAACUUAUGCCUAUUACAUCAAGAGGAAUAAAAACAAAGUUAUAAUUCUCCGGUGGCUCAGAUGGUAAAGAAUCUGCCUGCAAUGCGGGAGACCUGUGUUCGAUCCCUAGGCUGGGAAGAUCCCCUGGAGAAGGGAACGGCUACCUACUCCAGUAUUCUUGCCUGGGGACUGCCAUGGACAGAGGAGACUGGCAGGCUACAGUCCACGGGGUCACAAAGAGUGGACACAGCUGGGCGACCAAGCACCGCACAGCGCAGCACAUAAGGAAGCGCACAAUUGCAAAUAAAAGAUAAAGGAUGAAAAGCAGAUUGGUGGGCAUAGUGCCCAGAAUAAUGUGCUGAGAGACAGGUGUUUGCUAGGAGGUAAUUUGCCUGGACCUGAGUUGGGCUUGUCCUGGAUGCCAUGAGAUCACCCAGGCAAAUUUGAUAUCAAGGGACAUUUCAGAUAAAUCAGUCAGUACUCAGAGAGAAAGGGAUCAGGACCCUGAACAAAAUCUUCUCCUUCAGUCGUAUCCUAGCCAUGGGCUGGCCUGGUUGGAAAGUGCUGGGUUUGACCUGUUAACUGGGUGGAGUCCCACCUGGGGCACAUUUCAGUGUUAAGAGUAAAGUUGUGUCUUAGGGAGCCUCCUGGGGAGUUUAGCUUGAGCUUUAGCGUUAAGUCUGAGUUCAGUGAACCUCUUACAUAUUUUGGUGACUUUUUUUUCUUCUACACCAAACUUAACAGAAACAUGUUUCUUGAAAGAUUGCCUUGGGAGAUGUUAAUCUGGGUUAUGGUGCUGAUGGAGGGUGGGUAGAGACCAUCGCCUCCUGAGAAGGCUGCGUUUGGAGGAACGCACCCACUCCAAGCUGCUCAUCCAGGCCCAGGGCUCGGUUCUGAGGGUGAAGGGCUGCAGAACUCCCAGGGGCUGUCAGUACAAAAACCACACAUGAUGAAUGCUGAAGAAAGUGAUGCUGGGCCAUGUAAAAUGUUUCACAACCUACUUUUUUCUUAAAUAAAAAAUUUUGUUAAACAUGUUAGUGUUGUAACUCAUUACAUUGAAAUAAGCUUUGCCUUCCAAAUCUUUCUAGUUGUGAGUCCACUCGUGUAAA